rnacentral:rRNA from 1 species
CCCUUAGAUGUUCUGGGCCGCACGCGCGCUACAAUGAUGAAUUCAACGAGUUUAUAACCUUGGUUGAAAAGCCUGGGUAAUCUUUUGAACUUUCGUCGUGAUGGGGCUAGACCCUUGCAAUUAUUGGUCUCCAACGAGGAAUUCCUAGUAAACGCAAGUCAUCAGCUUGCGUUGAUUACGUCCCUGCCCUUUGUACACACCGCCCGUCGCACCUACCGAUUGAAUGGUCCGGUGAAAUCUUCGGAUUGAGACUUUGAUUUCUUCACGGAAAACGCUGUUUUAAAAAGUUGAUUAAACCUUACCAUUUAGAGGAAGGUGAAGUCGUAACA